AUGGAGAAGGAGGAGGCAGCGGCGGCGAGACCCGCUCGCAACGAACAGGAAUCCCAUGGAACCGCGUGGAAGCGGGCGCGGAGUGGCGACUGCGACGUGAACUCCGGCGAUCUCAUCAGCCACCUUGCUGACGCCCUCCUCGGAACCAUCAUCUCCCUCCUCCCAACCAAAGAUGGCGGUCGCACGCAGAUCCUCUCCCGCCGAUGGCGCCACCUGUGGCGCUCCGCGCCUCUCAGCCUCGAGGUCCUCGCCUUCCUCCCUGUCCCGGUCUUCGAUCGCUACGCCGUCCCCACCACCGCUGUCUCCAAGAUAAUAUCCCAACACCCUGGCCCCGCCCGCCGAUUCUCCUUCCUCUUCCUCGGGGCCGGCGAUCUCUACGCGGAGGUGGAGAGCUGGUUCGACUCCCCGGCCCUCGCCAACCUCCAGGAGCUCGAUAUCGGCUAUGAGUACCUCUUGGCAUCCAAGGGCAAAUAUCAGUUGCCGCAAUCCACGUUCCGCUCGGCAUCCACCCUCCUCGUUGCCAAGAUCAGGAACUGCGGUUUCUCUGACACAGUCCCACUGUCCUUCAAUUUCCCUCUCCUCAAGGAGCUCUCGUUGCAUUAUGUUUCCUUCUCCGGGGACGCGUUCCAGAGCUUGCUCUCGGGCUGCCAUGCCUUGGAAAGCUUAUACAUGCUCCAAGUUCAUGCUACAGCUGGUUGCCUCCGUGUUUGCUCGCCAACUCUUAGAAGCAUUGGCUUUCGUGAUAACUCUGGUGAAAAAACAGAAUUGGUCCUCGAGGAUGCUCCUCGCCUUGAAAGGUUAUUAUUGCCGUAUUGUCACCGGAAUGAUUGCGUUACUAUCCGGGUUAUUAGGGCACCUAAGCUGAAGAUAUUGGGGCCUUUCUCAGCAGACUCGUGCAAAUUCCGGAUCUUUCAGGGAAUGAGCCCCGUCAGCUCGGCAAACUCGAUACACACCGUGAAGGUUUUGGCCCUCACGUGUUCUUCUCUUCAAUUGGAUGCAGUUCUUGGCGUCCUCAGGUGGUUCCCAUGUUUGGAAAAGCUCUACGUCAGUUUUCACGAAUACUAUCAGACACAUAAGAAAUUUGAGCCUCAGGGUGACCCACUAUAUCCAAUUGAAUGCCUUCAGACCCAUCUAAAGAAAGUGAUGUUGACGUUAUACAUGAGCUAUGAGAAACAGGUUCACUUGGCCAGAUUCUUUGUUCUGAAUGCAAAAGUGCUAAAGAAAAUUGAGUUUCUUGUAUGGAACGACUACAGUGAUGAAUUGGUGGCUCACCAGCACAGCCUGCUCCAAGUCGAAAACAGAGCUUCUCGAGAUGCUCAAUUUGAAUUCAGGAAUUCUCUGUUUUUUAUUGACAAACAUGUAGAGGACCAUAUCCAUGAUUUGUCAGUGGCUGACCCCUUCAGACAGCCAUAG
rnacentral:rRNA from 1 species